GGGACGUCUAUGGUAACAUUCGAAAUUCGCCCGAGUGUCGGCCGGAAGUGACGUAAUGAGUUGGGUUUGUAACGCAGUAUACUCUCGAGUGUGGUCGUUCCCGCGAUACCUCGAUGUCCACGUCGAGGGUACUGUAGUGCCAAUAACGGUGGCUCAGUGACGUCAUUGUUGUAAGUUUGUUUUCAUGUGAUAAUUUUCAAUAACAACAAAGAACGAGUAAAUAUCAUAAUGUGCGAUCGUGUUCUGAUUCGAUCUAGUCAGCGAAAAAUCACAACUGAACCGCGGGCCUGAAUAUUUGGAUUCUGUCUGCUGCUGGGCCUUCAAUAGUUUUUGCCUCAUUUGUUUAUGUUUACUCCCUUCGUUUACUUUCACACAUGGACUUUAUGUGACGGAGUGAUCGAAAAUGCAAAUGGUGUUUCUGUAAAAGUGAGGCGAGUGAUUUGUCUUGCAAGUGGCCGUAUUGUGGAAAUAGUAAUAUGCAAACUGUGAUAGGACCUUCCAUGUCGCCUGGUGGAUUAUUGAAGUAAUCAGUAUCAGGACUACCAUUUUCCGGUAUCAGCUGACAUAUCAACCACAAAGACAAAUUAUUGGUUCUUCAGUGUCAUACCUAGCUGCUUACUCCCUGUUUACAAUCAAGCAUCAAAACAUUUCAAUAGAAUGACUGUCAGAAUGCACUGAUUAAAAGUGAAACAAAGAUGAAGUUUGUUCACAAAAAAAAAAGUCAACAGUAAAGGUGUUGCAGUGAUCAAAAUGUCAAGUUCUGACAGUGACUGUAUGCUCAUUGUGAAGACGAUAGCAGCAAACUGUGGCAAGGUGUCACUUCAUGAUUAGAUUGACCAACACCUCUGGAGAUGUGAUUCUCAAAGAUUUCCGAGGUUGGAUAGCGUCCAAACGCUAUAUUUAUUUUCACUUGAGUUUCAACUCUUGGAUUUAAUUUUAACAUCUGAAAAGCAGUGGAUGGACUUGGACAAUGUAAGGAAAUGGCAUUUUAUAUGGAUUUUAGCCUAAAAAGUUGAGUUUUAUGGUAAUCUAUAUUAGUAAGAGAAGAGGGG